GGCAUUGAAGGUGAACAGGUUGCACUGCCACACUUCCAAUGUGGAGAUAGCGGGUUCGAGUCCCGCCAAUGCCU
rnacentral:tRNA from 1 species